UUCAGCGGCAGCCCUGGGCCGCGGCCGAGGCCGCCUGCGCGGUGACACACGCGCACCUGGCCUCUGUCACCAGCGCCGAGGAGCAGGCGUACCUGGCGCGGGAGGCCCGGGGUGGCACCUACUGGAUCGGGCUGACAGCCACGGGCACGGGGGGCUCCUGGCGCUGGUCGGACGGGACCCCCUAUUCCCCCGAUCAGAGUUUCUGGGCUCCAGGGCAGCCGGACAGCACCGACCACGGCCAAUGGGGCGGCGAGGGCUGCGCCCAGAUCCACCCGGUGGGCGCGGGGCUCUGG